AAGGAGGAGCCAACUGUGCCACAUGCUCCUGAGACAAGAUGACGUUAGAGGCAUGUCCACUGGAUUUGGUAACUUGGUAACAUGGAGAUCAGAGCAGCUUGAUGGCCUUGGAACUUCAACUGCAGCAGCAGCUCCUCCCUGGGUCUCCAGCCUGCCAGCCCACCCUGCAGAUCUGGGACUCAGCAGCCCCCGUAAUCAUUCUCUGAGCCUGCAUCUGAGGC